rnacentral:rRNA from 1 species
GAUGAACGCUGGCGGCGUGCCUAAUACAUGCAAGUCGAGCGAACAGACGAGGAGCUUGCUCCUCUGACGUUAGCGGCGGACGGGUUAGUAACACGUGGAUAACCUACCUAUAAGACUGGGAUAACUUCGGGAAACCGGAGCUAAUACCGGAUAAUAUAUUGAACCGCAUGGUUCAAUAGUGAAAGACGGUUUUGCUGUCACUUAUAGAUGGAUCCGCGCCGCAUUAGCUAGUUGGUAAGGUAACGGCUUACCAAGGCAACGAUGCGUAGCCGACCUGAGAGGGUGAUCGGCCACACUGGAACUGAGACACGGUCCAGACUCCUACGGGAGGCAGCAGUAGGGAAUCUUCCGCAAUGGGCGAAAGCCUGACGGAGCAACGCCGCGUGAGUGAUGAAGGUCUUCGGAUCGUAAAACUCUGUUAUUAGGGAAGAACAAAUGUGUAAGUAACUAUGCACGUCUUGACGGUACCUAAUCAGAAAGCCACGGCCAACUACGUG